GUGGCGUUAGAAACUGUAGUAUACGAGCCGUCUGUGAAUCUGUGACCAAUGAAAUCUGUUACUUGGGAUAAUAUGUUUUGUGUCGGGCUUCGUCGUGCUUUCUGCUGCUGGAUGUCAAGAAAUUACUUAGCUUUUAAGAACGUGUCCACCAUGGACGUUUUACAACCAGGCCACCGAAUAUGGAUUAAGUUUCAUGCUUCGUAAAUUGAUAAAUGAUAACACUUUUUUUUUUUUUACAGAUUGUAUCACAUAUAGAUCCCGUGGUCCGUGCCAUAUGGUCUGCAGUUUUAUCUCGUGGUGUUUGUUGCAUCAAGCCAUUUGAGAUUAAAAGCUGUAAGCUGUGGAUAAAAUUUAUUCCUAACAAAGUACUGGAUGAUAAAUGUGCAUUCAAAGACUGGAUUUCUAUACCUCAAUGACUUCUCCCAAAAUAUUAUGAUGAAAAAUAACUUUAAAAGUUUUCCUAUUGAACCCACAGUUUGAAAAGUGGAACCUGUUGCAAUUAAUCUUAUUUCCAACAAAAUAGUUCAUUGUUGUAGAUUUCUACUAUACUCAAGAUAUGGUUAAAUUGAUUGCUGACCCUGUUUUCCUCCUUGAGCAUUCAAAACUACUUAUGGUAUCAAUUUGGGAGUCUUAUCAGUUCCUUUUAUAACCAUCAUCUAAUCCAGGUUGGUUAAAAGUCUAGCAUAAGAAAUACUAUUAGAGCAAUCUUUAAGAUAAAUGAUUAAUUUCCUUCCAGGACAAUCUUAUUUAAGUUAAAGAAAGAAUUGUCUUGCAAUAUUUUAAUUUUGGUUUUAAAAUGUGUGUUAAGUAGAGCUCAGCAAAUGAACAAACAAGUCCAAUACUACAUUCACAAAUCAAAAGUCCUAAGGUGUGAACCAUUUCUUUGUUUUCAGGUAAUAAAUUCUACAAUUGAUCCAUAGGUACAGUAUGAAAUUCAAGUACUGACUGGCUGUAAGCUGCAGCUUUUGUUAAUUUAUUCCAUAUCGCGUAUACGGAUUAGAAAAGCAAUUAGAAAGUAAAUAAGCAAAUAGAAGCCAUGGAUUGUAAAACAAUAACCAGAUGAGUGAGAUGGGCAGCUAUGAUAGUCUAAUCAUAAUGGAAGCAUUCAUCCUCUGCGUUGGUAACUGCACCAUAAGUAAAAUAUGUGGAGAUUGGUCAAUACAACAUUUUAAAAUCAUUUUAAACUUGUAACGAAUCGUUAAGCAUUCUACCCCGACUAUGGCCUACAGUUAAGGGCUGACAAAUUAUACUAUUUCUUUAUUCAAUUCGUAUUUAAACCCAAGGAGCCAGACUUAAGAGUUUGCAACAAAAAAAUCGUAUUCUCUAGGUUCGCACAAACAUGGGGCUCAUGUGGAGUUCAUGUGUCAAUCGGAUGGCAAUAUAAAAUUUCCUAAAAUCACAUAUUUUGCCUAUUAAAAUAAUUCGUUCCAGCCCUAAAUUUUGCAGGACUACUUUGUAUUUCCAGAAUUGUUUAGUUCAGAGUUGUAAACAUCCGGAAAAUUUGCAUGCAAAGCACUCUUUACUUAAAAAUCAAAUCAAUCAUCCAGUGAUUGAACGCUACCGUUGUCUGCAUGUCCGCCAUUUUAGCUGUGUGAACAUGAAAAAAAUUUGUGCUCUGUUGUUUUUUAAAUUAUCCCAUUGUUUUGUGCAUCUAGACCAGCAAACCUAGGCAGGUGGAAGCCUAGUAUAUUAACAAGUGAUGAUAAGUAGAAUGGCAGAUAGCAUACAAUUAAUGCUCAGACUGCAAAUUGGUUGAUGCAUUCUUAUGCUUUUGGUGUUUACUGUCUCUCAGUUCUUUGUCAGAGCACAGCAGAAACAUUUUUGCUUAAUUUAAUGCUAGAGCUUAUGCUAUACUUUACAAUGAAACUCUCAUGUAGGAUCGUGUGUUGACUCAAAAGGAUUGACUGAACUGUUUCACCCUCAGACCCACUAGUUCAGCUAUUAUGAUUUAAGAUAUAUGUGUUUUUACAUCUUUUUCAGCAUUGUGUUCCACAUCAUAACUUUUGUGUUUACUAAAUAUUCCCUUAUUUGAUUUCCCUGAAUCUUAAUUCAAAUAGCAAAACUGUAUAACCCAAGUGUUUGUGUCAAGCACUUGUUGAAACAAGAUUGAAGAUGAGAAGCAUCUCCUAUCUUUGGUCAGUUAAAUCACCAUGGUCCCAGUAAUCCAAGGAAAUCACCCAAGCUAGUUUACAAACUUGGUCAAGGAAACAAAGUCAUAAUUUUCGCCUCAUCGCCGUCUUUGUCUUCGCCGUUUUCGCCUUCACCUUCGCCAUCGUUUUAUCGCCGCCUUCGGUUUCGCCAUCGCCUCUGCCUUUGCCUGUGCCAUCGCCUCAUCUCUGUCUUUGCCUGCGCCAUCGCCUUGUUGUCGUCUUCGCGUUUACCUCAUCGCCGUCUUUGCCUUCACCUCAUCGCCGUCUGCGCCUUAUCACCAUCGCCUCAUCGCCGUCUUCGCCUCAUCGCCGUCUUCGCCUUAUCACCAUCGCCUCAUCGCCGUCUUCGCCUUCACCUUCGCCAUCGUUUCGUUGCUGCCUUCGCUUGCGCCGUCAUCUCAUCGCUGUCUUCAACUUCGCCAUCGUCUCAUCUCCGUCCUCAUCGCUGCCUAUAUCUUCGCCUGUGGCCUAAAACGAUGGAGCAAUCGUAUCCAGGAAAAAACUCAUGGCGAUUGAACGACCUAGCCGAGGUGAUUCCCUGGUAUAGUUUUGUGCUGUAUUUUUUAAUGUCGUGUUGUAUAGUUAACCCGUUGGCUGCCACCCCGUUUGCGCCCCAUUUUUUUUGUAGCUUAUAGGGACCGGCCGCGCUGUUCUACCUCAUGGUCUAUAGCCAUGGGGUGGAGCAGUCGCAAUGGCCUCGCCGCAAGGCGCUUUAGGCAAUGCACCAUUAGGGACUUCUCCUUGUCGAUGCGGUGGCGGAUUCCUGAGGGUGUGCAUUCCCUGUAACGGAUUCCGUCACCGUGUCAGCCCGGACUUGUCUUCGGACAAGUCCCCCUUGGUCGGCGAUCCUUCAGACACGAUGCGUAGCUAAUGUAGUUUAAGCAACCUACGGGUUGCGUGGCCUGGCAGCCAACGGGUUAACUAAUUUGUUGUAUGUGUGUGUUUGUGUGUGUUUAUAUGUAUGUAUGAAUACUUGUAUUUAUGUAUUGUUGUAUGUAAAACAGUGGAGGAAUUGAUGGGUGGAGGAGGGACAAUAAAAAAAUUCCAUUUA